UACGAAGGGGGCUAGCGUUGUCCGGAAUCAUUGGGCGUAAAGCGCGUGUAGGCGGUCCGGUAAGUCCGCUGUGAAAGUCGGGGGCUCAACCCUCGAAUGCCGGUGGAUACUGUCGGGCUAGAGUCCGGAAGAGGAGAGUGGAAUUCCUGGUGUAGCGGUGAAAUGCGCAGAUAUCGAGAGGAACACCUGCGGCGAAGGCGGGUAGCUGGGCCGACACUGACGCUGAGGCGCGAAAGCCAGGGAGCGAACGGG
rnacentral:rRNA from 1 species